rnacentral:rRNA from 1 species
ACKGCUCAGUAACACGUGGUUAACCUGCCCUUGGGACGGAAACACCCCCGGGAAACUGGGGCUAAUUUCCGAUAGGUGAAGGCUCCUGGAAUGGAUCUUCGCCUAAAGGGCGCUUAGGCCAUGCUUCUAGGCGCUGCCCAAGGAUGGGGCCGCGGCCGAUCAGGUUGUUGGUGAGGUAAUGGCUCACCAAGCCUUUAACCGGUUCGGGCCGUGGGAGCGGGAGCCCGGAGAUGGGGACUGAGACAAGGCCCCAGGCCCUACGGGGCGCAGCAGGCGCGAAACCUCCGCAAUGCGGGAAACCGCGACGGGGCUACUCCGAGUGCCAUCCGCUAAGGGUGGCUUUUCCGCAGUGUAAAUAGCUGUGGGAAUAAGGGGAGGGCAAGGCUGGUGCCAGCCGCCGCGGUAAAACCAGCUCCUCGAGUGGUUGGGAUGUUUAUUGGGCCUAAAGCGUCCGUAGCCGGCCCGAUAAGUCCUUAGCUAAAUCCGUCAGCCUAACUGACGGCGUGCUGAGGAUACUGUUGGGCUUGGGGGCGGGAGAGGCUGAGGGUACUACUGGGGUAGGGGUGAAAUCCUAUAAUCCCGGUAGGACCACCUGUGACGAAGGCGCUCAGCUGGAACGCGCCCGACGGUGAGGGACGAAAGCUAGGGGAGCGAACCGGAUUAGAUACCCGGGUAGUCCCAGCUGUAAACGAUGCAGGCUAGGUGUUAGGGCGGCUACGUGCCGCUCUAGUGCCGCAGGGAAGCUGUUAAGCCUGCCGCCUGGGGAGUACGGCCGCAAGGCUGAAACUUAAAGGAAUUGGCGGGGGAGCAC